AUUUGGCUUAGUUAAGAGGCAUAUAAUGAAAUGUGGAUUCAAAAUAUCUUAAGGUAUUUUGGGUCUUUGAAGGCCUUUUGAGGGGACUCUUUGCACUCUAUAAAGUGUCCUCCAAGCAGCCUUAGACAUUC